UCACAAACACCUUUGAGAAGUAGAAAGAGAUAGAGAGGGAGUUCUAGAGAGGGAAAACUCUUUAGGGAAAGCUAAUUUAGAAAAAAAAGAUGGUGGGAAUUUCUUAUGAACAAGAAUCUUGGGGUUCUAAAGAAAACUUCAACCAAGAACAGGAAAUAUGCCUAGAUCAAGAUGAUAGUUCCUGUCAAGAAACUGAAGAUAUAUGGCAGAAAGUUAAUAAAAGCACCAUCGCCUCCGCCACCAACAAUAAUAAGACCUUAUUCAGCUCCAAAAGUUGGAGCCACAGUAGCAAGAAGAAGAAGAACCAGGUUUUGCUAGAAGGCUAUGUUGAGGUAGCUAAUAAUGAUAAUAAUAUUGCUAAUGAGGAUGAUUUGAAGAGAACAAAGAGCUUAACAGAUGAUGAUCUUGAUGAGCUAAAAGGGUGUUUGGAUCUUGGGUUUGGAUUUAGCUAUGAUGAGAUCCCUGAGCUUUGUAAUACCUUGCCUGCUCUUGAGCUUUGUUACUCUAUGAGCCAGAAGUUUCUUGAUGAGCAACAUAAAUGUCCCGAGCGAAGCUCUCCUGCUGUGGCUGAGCCUGCUUCUAGUCCUAUUGCCAAUUGGAAGAUCUCUAGUCCUGGAGAUCAUCCAGAAGAUGUUAAAGCAAGGCUCAAAUUUUGGGCACAGGCUGUAGCAUGUACUGUUAGAUUAUGCAGCUAAAAGAUUCUAAACAAUUGAAUCAUUCAUUUCAUAUGAGAGAAUGGAUGCACAUUUUCUUGGCAAUGUGAAACAAUGGCCUGCAUCUGCAUGAAGGGCUUAUGUCCAUUGUACAUUUGAGUGCUAUGACUCGCAGGAAUCGAAGUUCCUGUGAAUUUUUUUAGCUGGGAAUGGACCAGCUUGGGUCGACAUUAAAGUAUUAGAAGAAGAAGAGAAAUGUUUCAGUGGUGAUAGCCUACAAUAGCUAGAGCCUUGACUAACUACCUGCAGACCUCUGCAUUUGCUGAGAUAAACUGCCCCAUUUGGAAUGGUAUAGCAAAGGCAGCUGGAGAUCGAUGGUGGAGAUGAUAAUGGAAGAAUUGCAAAUCUGUAUCUCUUCCUAUCGUUAUUCAGAUGAUAAUCUUUAUGUCAAUUUCUUCAACUCGGAUUAGAAAAUUCAUGUCUUUUGAGAUUUAAGUUGGCGUAUGGCUAAUUUCUCAUUUUAUUUUAGUUAUGGGAAUUAGUCCAUGGUAUUGUUUUUGUUUGUCUAUUUGAUCUAUGGAAUUGCACAUCAAAGUUAGAUUACUCUACUUGGCUCGUUGAUUCAUUAGAGUUUUCGAUCUUUUUACCCUUUAUUCGUUACAAAUGAGUUUGAAGGAUAAAUUUCAUUUA